rnacentral:rRNA from 1 species
CGCGGCCUAUCAGCUUGUUGGUGGGGUAAUGGCCUACCAAGGCGUCGACGGGUAGCCGGCCUGAGAGGGUGUACGGCCACAUUGGGACUGAGAUACGGCCCAGACUCCUACGGGAGGCAGCAGUGGGGAAUAUUGCACAAUGGGCGGAAGCCUGAUGCAGCGACGCCGCGUGGGGGAUGACGGCCUUCGGGUUGUAAACUCCUUUCGACAGGGACGAAGCGCAAGUGACGGUACCUGUAUAAGAAGCACCGGCUAACUACGUGCCAGCAGCCGCGGUAAUACGUAGGGUGCGAGCGUUGUCCGGAAUUACUGGGCGUAAAGAGCUCGUAGGUGGUUUGUCGCGUCGUCUGUGAAAUUCCGGGGCUUAACUCCGGGCGUGCAGGCGAUACGGGCAUAACUUGAGUGCUGUAGGGGAGACUGGAAUUCCUGGUGUAGCGGUGAAAUGCGCAGAUAUCAGGAGGAACACCGAUGGCGAAGGCAGGUCUCUGGGCAGUUACUGACGCUGAGGAGCGAAAGCAUGGGUAGCGAACAGGAUUAGAUACCCUGGUAGUCCAUGCCGUAAACGGUGGGCGCUAGGUGUAGGGGGCUUCCACGUCUUCUGUGCCGUAGCUAACGCAUUAAGCGCCCCGCCUGGGGAGUACGG